rnacentral:rRNA from 1 species
CCUACGGGCGGCAGCAGUGAGGAAUAUUGGUCAAUGGACGAGAGUCUGAACCAGCCAAGUAGCGUGAAGGAUGACUGCCCUAUGGGUUGUAAACUUCUUUUAUAUGGGAAUAAAAUGUUCCACGUGUGGGAUUUUGUAUGUACCAUAUGAAUAAGGAUCGGCUAACUCCGUGCCAGCAGCCGCGGUAAUACGGAGGAUCCGAGCGUUAUCCGGAUUUAUUGGGUUUAAAGGGAGCGUAGGUGGAUUGUUAAGUCAGUUGUGAAAGUUUGCGGCUCAACCGUAAAAUUGCAGUUGAAACUGGCAGUCUUGAGUACAGUAUAGGUGGGCGGAAUUCGUGGUGUAGCGGUGAAAUGCUUAGAUAUCACGAAGAACUCCGAUUGCGAAGGCAGUUCACUGGACUGCAACUGACACUGAGGCUCGAAAGUGUGGGUAUCAAACAGGAUUAGAUACCCCAGUAGUC